UGGGAAUUCCUGCAAGAGUGUGGCACAGCGCCUCCUUAUAGGUCCAAAUAUAUGUACUACAAGUCCUCUGGAAAAUGCCACUAACCUGAACAAUCUUACAGCAGAUGUUGCAACACAAACAGAUUUCAUAGCUGGGAGGGUGCUAGUAGGUCAGCAGAGUUGAUUCACCAGACAGCUUUGAAAAGAUUGAGACAGUAUGCCCCGCUUUCAAAAACUGAGAAAGCGUGCCUUAUCGACCUGAUAUAUAAUGCUACACCACAGCAGAUGGCCAGAACAAUGAUGGGUAUAACUUCACUUGGAGGAGAACUGAGAAAUAUAGUGUUAUUUGAUCUUGAGAUGGAGGCACAAGAGUGUGCAAACAAGGGAAGUGCACUGUACUUGAAACACUUUGACAACUUAAUCAAAUUUAGAUGGGAAAACAUCAUAAACGAAAUGGUCAAAAAACAAAGUUUCCUUGCUCAGGUGCUCCUUGCCAUCACUUUACCUAGAAAAAAGAUAGGUGACAGUAAAAGGACCCAAGACCUCGUCCCAGUGAUGGGGACAGCGUCUGCGAUCCUGAUGAAACAGAGGUACUCUGCUCUGUCUGUGGUACAGAAGAUGAUCUCAGUAGCAUUAGCAAAUGAACAAACACACCAGAAGAUUUCACUGUUCACUGUCUGUGAAAGAUGAAUAGAUUCUUCGUCAUCUGGAAUUCAAUAUGGUCUAUGAUCAACUCCAACCAUUGGGGAUCACACUAUGCCACCAGAGUAUGCUGGACACGAUGACCUCAAUAUCUGGGACAUUCAAUUCUAAAUUGAUAGACAGUUUGAAAUCAGGAAAAUGCUUUCGCAUAGUGGGGGACAACAUAAACUUCAAGAUGGGUGUUUCACAAGAGCGUAAAAGUGUGGGGAAAGUAGGUCAUAUUCAACACUGGUUUGGAUCUGCAGCUAUUGUCCAAAACGUCAACUUCCAGGCUAUGGAUAAUAAUAUUCCACAUUGUGAUCUCCGCCUUUUGCUUACAGAAACCUUUAUCAUAUGUGAGGAAGAAUUGCAGGAAAUUUCAAAUAAUUUCUCCGUUCUUUCUUCAAGAGUUCUCGUGGAAUAAUUCCCAUGGCUGAAGCCCUCCCCUGCUUGUGUGAAUUUCAGUAUUGUGUGUUUGAUUGUAAUUUUGCAAAGCUUGCGAAUAUUUUGUGUCUUGAAAAAUAAAAAUAAAACAACCA